rnacentral:lncRNA from 1 species
GCCCUCAUUUAAUUUCUUGGGUAUCUAAUUGAGCACGGGAACAAGGCAAUGGCAGUUACUGCUUCUAGACUAGAGUGGCUACGUUAUCUACUUCUUCAACUCCAUGUUCCUCUCAAGCUCUGUGUGGUUCUUUAUUAUGAUAAUAUCAGUGCAACUUGUUGAAGAUAAGAUCAAAUACUGUUGGAGCUAAAACCAAAUGCCGUUGAAGUUGAAGAUCAAAUUUCAGAUAAUACUAGAAUUUGUUAUAUUUGUUAUUUUUAGUUUCUUAUCCCGUUGGAGUUUGAUGUAUUCGAUGUUAUCCAAAUGCAUGACUCAUGCUCUAUAAAAAGCCUGGCUAUGACGUACUAUGUUGACAGAACUUUUGAGUAAUUAAUUUUUUCCACAUCAAGUCUCUUCUCUAUUCUAUAAUAUAUUUUUUUUAUUUUUAUUCUUUAAAAUAUCCUCAUAAUAAAUGGUAUCAGAACCAAAUUUCGGCAAAAGAGAAGAAGAUGAUGGCGGCAAAUGGUGUCAGCGGAUCCCAACU